rnacentral:rRNA from 1 species
AUUGCCUCAGUACGGCGAGUGAGCGGCAACAGCUCAAAUUUGAAAUCUGGCUCCUUCGGGGCCCGAGUUGUAAUUUGCAGAGGAUGCUUCGGGUACGGGUUCCUUCCGAGUUCCCUGGAACGGGACGCCAUAGAGGGUGAGAGCCCCGUCUGGUAGGACACCCAGCCCGUGUGAAGCUCCCUCGACGAGUCGAGUAGUUUGGGAAUGCUGCUCUAACGGGAGGUAUACUCCUUCCAAGGCUAAAUACCGGCUGGAGACCGAUAGCGCACAAGUAGAGUGAUCGAAAGAUGAAAAGCACUUUGAAAAGAGAGUCAAAUAGCACGUGAAAUUGUUGAAAGGGAAGCGCUCGCUACCAGACAUGGGUUCGGCGGUUCAACCGGGGCCACGCCCCGGGGCACUCCGCCGGCCCAGGCCAGCAUCAGCUUUCCGUCGGGGGCAAAGACGUCGGGAAUGUGGCUCCCCUCCGGGGGAGUGUUAUAGCCCGGCGUGUCAUACCCUUCGGGGGGCUGAGGUACGCGCUUCUGCAAGGAUGCUGGCGUAAUGGUAGCUAGUGACCCGUCUUGA